rnacentral:rRNA from 1 species
UACGAAGGGGGCUAGCGUUGCUCGGAAUCACUGGGCGUAAAGGGUGCGUAGGCGGGUCUUUAAGUCAGGGGUGAAAUCCUGGAGCUCAACUCCAGAACUGCCUUUGAUACUGAGGAUCUUGAGUUCGGGAGAGGUGAGUGGAACUGCGAGUGUAGAGGUGAAAUUCGUAGAUAUUCGCAAGAACACCAGUGGCGAAGGCGGCUCACUGGCCCGAUACUGACGCUGAUGCACGAAAGCGUGGGGAGCAAACAGGAUUAGAUACCCCAGUAGUCC